rnacentral:lncRNA from 1 species
CCAGACACUCCUUCCAUAUGCCGGCUUUCUCUGAGCUUUUCUCUGCUGCUUACCUCUCUCAUCAGUGGGCACCCUGUCCAGUUUCUUGAGGCUGCUCUUGGCUGUGCUUUUGCUCUUCCCUCCAUGGAGCAGCCUGUUUUGUGUUGGGAGCUCUACUUGCUGAGCGAGGAGGAGGACUGGAUUGGGUGGAAAAUCAGUGCUGAGGCUGGAGGAGAUGAAAAGCAGGGAGGCAAGGAGAGCUCCCUUAGAAAAGCAGCCGGGAAGGCACGGGUUCCUGCGGAGUCAGAAGGGGAUGCAUGGGUGUUGUGGGCACAGAUGACUGCCCUGCAAGCCCUUUCUGCAGGACUCGGACAGCUGAGGGAAGCGUGUCCAGGAUUGACGGAGCUGCUCCACGCUGGGUCCCAUGAGACAGGCAGGACAGCCCUGUCCUUCCUGCCUGGGGACACAGCACCAUCCUCUUCCUCCUCUGCGCGGGUGGCCCCACCGGACUCUGAAGCGAAGCUGUGAAGGACUGCUGCAACGUGCAUGAGUGGAAAGCAAAGGAGAGACCAAAGCCCACCAAGCCUCUGGCGUCCGAUCCCCCAGCAUCCUGACUUCAUCUGACUUGGGUAGGUCAACCACUUGGAGGCGUUGUCUUGCCGAAUGUAUGAUGCUUACAGGUCUUGGUUGUGCCAAGUCUGGACUAAUUUCUGUUGCCAUAAGUGUGGUAGAAGUGCCCUCUCGGGGUCUGGGGCUGCUACUUGGUCUUUCUGGGGCUUUAGGCAAUGCAGAUUUUGACCAGAGGCCUGGAGAAGACCCUACCCACUUGUCUGGAGGAGGUAGGAAAUAUCCCCUCCAUCCUGUCUGUAUGCAGACAGGUUUUACCCAGGGCAGUUGAGGAAGCCAUGAGACACGUCUGGAAUGUUUAGACGGUUCUUUGAAAUCAUCACGGCUGAGAAAGGAGGUUUUUUGUCUAGAGGCUGCUGUCAUCUGGGCAUACUGCUCAUCUUGGGCAGGUGGGUUCACUCGAGCUUACAUUGCGGUGGCAAGAGGCAGACGGGUCUGUGUGCUGCCUGCAGGGAUGGCCGUGUGUGGUGACCUAGGAGGGUGCUGGGCAGAAAGUUUCCCUCUCCCAGGAGAGGGCAAGCGAGAGUGCCCUCAAAAGCCAGCGUUGUGCGAGAUGUCUCUAUUACCGUCGCAUGGCGCUGCACGCUCUCCGGCUCAGCCUGCUUCCCAGCUCUCUCACCAGGACAGCCGGAGACAGGAGCAGGUUUCAGCUUGUACUGUACAUACAAAAUCCUAGACUAAAAUCUGUGAACUGUCAGUUUGAUGCAGGCAACGCGUGAGACAGCAAACAUCAGAGCUGACUGGGCUUAGGCAAUUUCCCAGAACGUCAGUCCUCUGGAGAGAACAAAGGGAUCUUUCGGUGAACAGCAGAAUUUAGUUUCCUAAUGAAGAAAAAAGGAAGAGAAGAAAAAAAACCAGGAUGAUUCAGGCAUCUUUUAUCCACUGGAGCUGGGGCAGGGUGGGGGGAACUAUUCAA